rnacentral:lncRNA from 1 species
GGGAUUCGCUAGCGGCGCCCUCUAGUGGCGUUUCGCGGAGCCUUGGCGGAAACCCUACUGGGAGCCGGUGUGUCCCCCAGUAACAUUUGCAAAUGAAAGAAGGCACUCAUGAAAGGUGGCCGGGUACCACUGUAUCAAUGGCCCAGUUGCCCAUCUCCUGGCGAGAGAUUUCCCUAAGUGACCUGGAAGUGUCACUAUUACCACCGCCCCACAUGAAUCUUGUGCUGGAGGCGACUAGAGCUGUGUGUCCCUCAGCAGAAGCAGGUGGCAUAAGCAAGAGUUCCAUUUUGGUUUCAUUUUCAGAGGACCCCAAUUGCGCAGUCUGCAAGAAAUAAUGUGCCUCUCAGGAUGGUUCCAAGCUGAGCCCAAAUCACUGAGGGAGAUUCACUGCUUGCUAACAUGAACUUUAUUCCUGGAUAAACAAGUCCCAAACCGUCUUGUCCAUAUGCCACCACGGUCAGGUCAAAACACACAUUAUCAGCUGGGUGCGGUGGCUCACGCUUGUAAUCCCAGCACUUCGGGAGGCCGAGGUGGGCGGAUCACUUGAGGUCAGGAGUUGGAGAUCAGCCUGGCCAACAUGGUGAAACCCCGUCUCUACUAAAAAUACAAAAAUUAGCCGGGCGUGGUGGUACGUGUCUGUAGUCCCAGGUACUCAGAAGGCUGAAGACAUGAGAAUCGCUUGAACCCAGGGGGCGGAGGUUGCUGAGCUGAGAUCAUGCCACUGCACUCGAGCCUGGACAACAGAGUGAGAUCCUAUGCCAAAAACAAACAAUAAAAACCAACAACAAAAAAGUGCUUUAACAAGUGCGACUCUGUGAGAGACACUCUGCUAGAUGCUGGGGCCAUAAGAGUGAAAAUAAUAGUCUCUGCCCCAGAGGGGCUCAGGUCUGGCUCCUUGAUACAUUUCACAGAUGAGGAAACUGAGGCACUGAACUUUCUGGUUUCUUUCUCUGGGCUGGUUAUGCUGUACUCCCUUCACUGAGUAUUUUCCUCCCUUCAUGAAUUUUCAAGAGUUUCACUCUUGUUGCCCAGGCUGGAGUGCAAUGGCGUGAUCUCGGCUCACUGCAACCUCCAACUC